rnacentral:rRNA from 1 species
UACAGAGGAGCCAAGCGUUGUCCGGAUUGACUGGGCGUAAAGCGCACGCAGGCGGUCACGCGCGUGGGGUGUGAAAACUGGCGGCUUAACUGCCAGAGGCCAUCCCAUACGGCGCGACUCGAGCCAUGCAGAGGUCCACGGAAUUGCCGGUGUAGUGGUGAAAUGCGUAGAUAUCUGGAGGAAUACCGGUGGCGAAGGCAGGUCUCUGGGCUGACACUGACGCUCAUGCACGAAAGCGUGGGGAGCAAACAGG